UUCACGUGACCAGGAGCCUGUGUGCUGGUCUGUCCAGAUAGCGGUUCUUGCUCAGGUAACCGGCUCCCAAUUUCUUUUGAGGUGGCGUGGCUGUGGGCAAGGAAGGAGGAGGACAAGAGGAAACCCGUCCUGAUUCCUGCCGGUCACGGUGAGGUUUCAGACUCCUGCGUCCCAGCGGCUCUCACUAGCCUGAGAGAGAGUCCCCUGAGAUCCUCGCUCCAGCUGCAGCAUGGGCCGCGCUCAGAAUUUGGGCUUGAUGGCAACAGGCCUGGUGGUCGGGGCUGGCUCCUGGUACUACAUAUACCGACUGACGUUGGGAGAGCAGAAUAAGAAGAGGCCAGCUGAUGCGAAAGACAUUAAUCCUGCCUACAAAAAGUUUAGAAAAUACAGAAAACUGUAAGGAAGAAAAUAAAAAUAAGCCACCAA